GGGUCAGUAGGUUAGUCGUGCCACCGGUACGUACUGGUCUCACUGAUUCCUCCUUCCUGAAGAACCGUAAUGCCAUUAAUUUGGUGUUGCGGGGAAACAGGACUGUUACUUUGAAAAAUUAGAGUGUUUAAAGCAAGCUAACGCUUGAAUACAUUAGCAUGGAAUAAUGAAAUAGGACGAUCGAUCCUAUUUUGUUGGUUUCCAGGAUUGACGUA
rnacentral:rRNA from 1 species